rnacentral:rRNA from 1 species
AAAUGAGAGACUAGCAGGAUUCCCCUAGUAACUGCGAGUGAAGCGGGAAGAGCUCAAAUUUGAAUAUGAUAUGCUGUUGACUGCGCGAGGUGUUCUCUAGAGAAGUGUUAUGCCGCGCUGCAUACGUGCACUAACCCUCCUGAAAUGGAGUCUCAUAGAGGGUAGAAAAUCCCGCUUUUGAUGCGAACUGCCAGCUUUUUGAGAUGCGCUCUCAAAGACUCGAGGUGUGUGAUAGUGGCUCUCAAAGUGGGUGAUACUCCCCCUCUAGCUCUAUAUCUUGGAGAGACACCGAUAGCGCACAAACCCCGAGAGGAAAAUAAGAAAAGAACUUUGAAAAGAGAGAUAAACACGACGUGAAAUUGUUGAAAGGGAACUUCUUGAAGUCAAUCCCGCUGAACAGGGAUCCACUCAACAAUUUUGUUGGUUGUUCUUCCUGGCUUAGCGGGUCAGCAUCGAUUUUGACCACUGGAAAAAGGGUAAGGGAAUGUGGCACCUUUGGGUGUGUUAUAGCCCUAGAUGUAUACAGUGGUUGGGAUUGACGAACUCACCACGCCGCAAGGCCGGGCUUUGACUACGCUCGUGCUUAGGAUGCUGUGAUAAUGUCUUUAAUAGACCCGUCUUGAAACACGGACCAAGGAGUCUAGCAUGCCUGCGAGUGUUUGGGUGCCAAACCCGCGCGAACAAUGAAAGUGAAAGUUGAGAUGGGCUGUCAUGGGGAGCAUCGACGCCCAGACCUGAACUUUUGGGAUGGAUCUGCGGUAGAGCAUGUAUGUUGGGACCCGAAAGAUGGUGAACUAUGCCUGAAUAGGGUGAAGCCAGAGGAAACUCUGGUGGAGGCUCGUAGCGAUUCUGACGUGCAAAUCGAUCGUCGAAUUUGGGUAUAGGGGGCCGAAAGACUAAUCCUGACCAUCUAUGUG